rnacentral:rRNA from 1 species
AUGUGGAGGCUGAAGGUGGGGGAGGGGGGAAGCGCUCUGCUGCGGACGAGGAACAACUUCCUCGGCAGGGAGGUGUGGGAGUUCGACCCCGACGCGGGCACGCCGGAGGAGCGCGCCCAAGUGGAGAGGCUGCGCCGCGAGUUUACCGAGCAUCGCUUCCACAGGCCCAGGGAGUCCGACGACCUCCUCAUGCGCAUGCAGUAUGUGAAGCAAAAUGGUCCUGAAGCAAUUCUUCCAGUUACAAAGCUUAAAAACUAUGGAGAAGUCAUGGAAGACAUUAUUUUAGAUGCACUAAGACGAGUUCUUAUUACAUACUCCACUUUGCAAGCACAUGAUGGACAUUGGCCUGGCGGUUUCAGUGGGAUUCUUUUCAUCAUGCCUCUCAUGAUAUUUGCUUUAUAUGUCACCGGAUCACUCCAUAUGGUCAUAUCACCAGAGCAUAUACGUGAGAUAUGUCGUUACAUUUACAACAUCCAGAAUGAAGAUGGUGGGUGGAGCACACAUAUUUUGGGUCCAAGCUCCAUGUUUGGCUCUUGUGUAAACUAUGUAACAUUAAGGAUCCUUGGCGAGGAGCUUGAUGGCAAUGAGGCAUUAUACAAAGGGCGUGCAUGGAUUUUAUCUCAUGGUAGUGCAACUGCAUCACCACAAUGGGCAAAGAUAUGGCUCUCGGUAAUUGGAAUGUAUGAUUGGUCUGGGAAUAAUCCAGUUAUUCCAGAACUAUGGUCGGUUCCACACCUUCUUCCAAUUCAUCCAGGAAAAUUUUGGUGCUUUUGUCGGAUGGUUUAUAUGCCAAUGGCUUAUAUUUAUGGGAAAAAAUUUGUUGGCCCCAUUACUCCAACGAUACUAGCACUAAGAGAUGAGCUCUAUAAUAAACCAUACAGUGAGAUCAAUUGGAACAUGGCUCGUAGUUCGUGUGCCAAGGUAUUAAAUAUGAUUUGUUGUUGGAUAGAGGACCCCAAUUCCUAUGCAUUCAAACGACAUCUUCCAAGAAUUCAUGAUUUCUUAUGGAUUUCAGAAGAUGGAAUGAAGGCAAAGGUGUAUGUUGGCUGCCAGAGCUGGGAGACAGCACUUAUAGCUCAAGCCUUUUGCUCAACCAAACUUGCCAAAGAAUUUGCUCCAGUUCUUCGAAAAGCCCAUGGGUUUCUAAAAGCAGCACAGGUUACUCAGAAUUUUCCUACUUACAACAGUUAUUACCGUGAAAGGUCAAAAGGAGCAUGGACUCUCUCAAAUGGAGAGAAUGGUUGGCCUAUCGCUGACACUACUGCGGAAGCGAUUAAGGCAUUACUAUUACUAUCAAAAUAUUCUCCAAGCCUUGUUGGAGACCCAAUUGAAGAACAAAGAUUCUACGACGCUGUUGAUUGCCUUCUUUCUUAUGUGAACAAAGAUGGAACGCUUUCUUCGGCAGAAUGUAAAAGAACGACUCCAUGGGUAGAGAUUCUGAAUCCUUCGGAGAGUUUUCGAAACAUCAUCGUUGACUACCCCUAUGUUGAAUGCACCUCAUCCUUAGUUCAAGCUCUAAUAUUGUUCAGAAACUCGUACCCUGAGUACCGUUGUGAAGAGAUAGAAGAAUGCAUCAAGAAAGGGACAUUAUUCAUCGAGAAACAACAACGAACCGAUGGCUCAUGGUAUGGUACUUGGGGUGUGUGCUUCACUUAUGCAUCCUUCUUUGCCACAAAAGGACUAGUUGCUGCUGGAAGAACAUACGAGAAUAGUGUUACCAUUAGGAAGGCAUGCAGCUUCUUGCUGGCAAAGCAGCUCAGUUCAGGUGGAUGGGGGGAGAACUAUCUUGGUUGCGAGACUGAGGUUGAAAGAGAUCCCACACCAAUGUAUCGUGCUGCAAAAGAAUUGAUAAACUUGCAAACUGAGAGAGGAGAAUUUCCCCAGCAAGAAACUGUUGGAAACUUCAAUUCGUCUCUUUAUUUCAACUAUAGCAACUACCGCAACUUGUUUCCUAUUUGGGCUCUUGGAGAGUUUCACCGCCGACUUGUGGGCAACAAGAACUGA